CACGUAGGGCGCAAGCGUUUGUCCGGAAUUAUUGGGCGUAAAGGGCGCGUAGGCGGCUUUGCAAGUGGCGGGUGAAAUCCCUCGGCUUAACCGAGGAACUGCCUGCCAGACUGUGAGGCUUGAGACCGGGAGAGGUCGAGUGGAAGUUCCCAGUGUAGCGGUGAAAUGCGUAGAUAUUGGGAGGAACACCAGUGGCGAAGGCGGCUCACUGGACCGGAACUGACGCUGAGGCGCGAAAGCGUGGGGAGCAAACAGG
rnacentral:rRNA from 1 species